rnacentral:RNase_P_RNA from 1 species
GCAGUAAGCCAGACGAUCGCCGCGUGGCUGACGCCAGUUCUCCGGAGCUGGCGAAGGCCCGGGGAGGAAAGUCCGAACUCCGCAAGGCAGUGCGCCGGUUAAUGGCCGGUCAGGGUGACCUGAAGGAAAGUGGCACAGAAAAUAUACCGCCGGCGCCGUGUCCGGCUGACGGCAGAAGGAGUAGGGGCGCGAGCGGAACGCGCGCCCCAACUCCCUCUACUGUGAGCCGGCUGACAGGCGAGGGCUUGUGAGCCGGCUGACAGGAGAGGUAACUCCCUCUACUGUGAGCCGGGCACGGCGCAGGUAAGGGUGAAAAGGUGCGGUAAGAGCGCACCGCGCUUGCCGUAAGGCAGGUGGCAGGCAAAACCCCGCACGGAGCAAGACCAAAUAGGGAGGCGUCAUCAGGACGGCCCGUCCGAGGCCUCCGGGUAGGUCGCUUGAUCCCGCCAGUGAUGGCGGGGCUAGAGGAAUGAUCGUCACGCCGGAGCGCCAGCGGAAGCUGGCGCGAAGGCGGACAGAAUUCGGCUUACGGUUUCACUGCGGCG